rnacentral:rRNA from 1 species
GUAGGCCUACGGGGCGCAGCAGUGGGGAAUAUUGCACAAUGGGGGGAACCCUGAUGCAGCGACGCCGCGUGGGUGAAGGAGCACCUCGGUGCGUAAAGCCCUAUCGGCAGGGAAGAAACAGAAGGUACCUGACUAAGAAGCCCCGGCUAACUACGUGCCAGCAGCCGCGGUAAUACGUAGGGGGCAAGCGUUAUCCGGAUUCACUGGGGGUAAAGGGAGCGUAGACGGCGACGAAAGUCUGGAGUGAAAGCCCGGGGCCCA